AGUUAGGUACUUAGGGACUUAGAGACAUGUUAGUGUGGAGAGCAAAUAGAUAUUAUAGGAUUAAAUUGGACUUACUCCACAAGAGAAUCGUUUUCGGUCGGAGCUUUCGACAUGUAUUACAUGUCCUCUUCAGCGAAGGUCGGUAAUCGGGGCGAAAAUAAAACGUUCGGGUCGAAUCGAAUCGCACAAGAUGUCGGUGAGCUGCGCAGAGUUAUUUAGGCCGCUUGAAUUAUAAAAUAAGCAAGACUGAAACACGUGACGACAAUAAGAGUACACUCAAUGAGAAAGUCUACCAAAAAACAAGAA